AAAGCAGUGAUGCAGAGCAAAUCCCCAAAAGCAGUCUUAGUUCGGAUUGUAGGCUGCAACUCGCCUACAUGAAGUCGGAAUUGCUAGUAAUCGCGGAUCAGCAUGCCGCGGUGAAUACGUUCCCGGGCCUUGUACACACCGCCCGUCACACCAUGGGAGUCGGUAACACCCGAAGCCUGUAGUCUAACCGCAAGGAGGACGCAGUCGAAGGUGGGAUUGAUGACUGGGGUGAAGUCGUAACAAGGUAGC
rnacentral:rRNA from 1 species